rnacentral:rRNA from 1 species
CCUACGGGUGGCAGCAGUGAGGAAUAUUGGUCAAUGGACGAGAGUCUGAACCAGCCAAGUCGCGUGAAGGAUGACUGCCCUAUGAGUUGUAAACUGCUUUUAUAUGGGAGUAAAGUCCGCCACGUGUGUCAGGUUGUAUGUAUCAUAUGAAUAAGGAUCGGCUAACUCCGUGCCAGCAGCCGCGGUAAUACGGAGGAUCCGAGCGUUAUCCGGAUUUAUUGGGUUUAAAGGGUGCGUAGGUGGUUUGUUAAGUCAGAGGUGAAAGAUCGGGGCUCAACCGCGAAAUUGCAUUUAAUACUGGCAGUCUAGAGAACAGUAGAGGUAGGCGGAAUGUGUGGUGUAGCGGUGAAAUGCUUAGAGAUCAUAAAGAACACCGAUUGCGAAGGCAGCUGACCAAACUAUAACUGACAUUGAGGCACGAAAGUGUGGGUAGCAAACAGGAUUAGAUACCCCAGUAGUC